UUCUGUUGGUUUUUAAAAUCUUCUCAAUCCUUCAACAUACUAGUGAUUUUUGCUCUAUGCCCUCUCUUUGGUUUUUCUUAACAGCCACGGUUUUGUCACCUUAGCUUUAAAAUUCUACUUCCUCUUUGUGAUGCAUAGAAAUUUGAGGGGCGAAGAACAUCUCAGGCAGAACUGCAGUCAGCUCGACUUCUUCAGUCUGCAGGAAAUUCAAGGGGAACCUCUUCACCCACAGAGUGGUGACUGUUUGGAACUCAUUCACAUGGACAGUGAGAGGUGAACAACAGGGGAGGAUUUGAAAGAUCUGCUGUGGAACAGAAUCAUUGGCAAGGUCCAGCCGGCCUGAGGUCUAGUCCCAUUAAAGGUGACUAUGCAGCAGAAGAAACUCCUCACAUGCCUGGUGAGCAGCAGCAAUAAUUGCAGAGUUCAGCACCGACACUCACUCUCGAAUUUGCAUUCAGCAACGCUGAUGAAUAAAUAUUCAGCAUGCAGCUCAUUGAAACGUUCUCCCAGUGUGAACCGGUAGUGUGUGAGGAGGACAAGACCAGAACAUAUGUGUCAAGGAAGCUACCUCGGAAUUACAUCCAUCAGAAACAGGAUUUAAUGGCAGUAAAAAUGAGCAAACUUAUCCUUGGACAUAUGAGCCCGAUGAACCACCUUAAAUUGCAUGAAGGCAUGUCUGACACACACUGAAGAGGUAUUUUCUAGUUCAAGAAUUUUCUCCCAUUUCUGCAUAGGUAAAGGUAUCCGAAGUUCUCUUUCCCACUCAUUCUUAAUUUUAUCAGAAGUAUCCAAGUGUAUUUUCAUAAUUAAAUCAUAAAUAAAUGAUAAUAAACUCUUCUGAUGUGGAUUUGAACUUUUUUCCCCCGUAACUUCAAUUCGAUGUGAUAUCGGAACAGAAGGUAAAAUAACAUUCAAAAAGUUUCUAAUCUGUAAAUAUCAGAAAAAGUGUGAUCUAGGCGAAUUAUAUAUAUUAGAAAGUUGUUCAAAAGAAAUAAAACAAUCAUCCAUAAAUAAGUCACGAAAACAUAAUUUUCCCUUUGUUUGCAAUAAAAGAAAAGCUUGAUCAAUUUAAAUGGUUGAAAGAAAAAAAAUAGAUAUAAUAGAACUUGACAGUAUAUAUUUAUUUGGUCCAAAAACGUACCAAAAUUGAAACCAUAUUCCUAUUGUAUGCUUACUUAUUGUAAUUACCAUUUGCUUAUUAAAUUUAGUAAGUGCAAAGGGAACCACAGCCCCUAACAUAGAAGCCAAUGAAAACUCCUGUCGAGACUCACGCUCAAGGUUCAUCCAACUCUUGUGUCCAAAACAUUAAAUAUCGAACAUUAAUUGCCCGAUAAUAAAAACUAUGAUCCGGCAAAACCAAGCCUCCUUCCUUUUUUGAUUUCUGUAACUAUUUCUAAUUUAACCUGGGAUUUCUAUUCUGCCAUCCAUAUGCAGAAAUUUUAGAAUCAAUAAUAUUAAAAAAAUGUUACAGAUAAAAAUUGAUACUGCCUGAAAUAGGUACUGAAAUUUAGGUAAAAUAAUCAUCUUAAUAGCAUUAAUGGAACCAAUCAAGGAUAAGGACAAUGGGGACCAUUUAGUAAACAAUUGUUUAGACUGAUCAAUUAAGGGUAAACAUUAACUUUAAAUAAAUCGUUCUGCUUCUUAGUAAUUUUAACACCCAAAUAAAUAAAAUAAUCAGCAAGCAAUCUAAAUGGUAACUGUCUGUAAAUUGAGACUUGCCUAUUUAAUGGGGAAAGCACUUUUAUUAAGAUUCAGUUUAUAAGCAGAAAAACUACUAAACUGUGCAAGAUGUGUUAUUACUGCAGGAAUGGUUUACUCUGGAUUAGAAAUAUCUAGCGACAGGUUAUCUGCAUAUUGUGAUACUUUACGCGUCCCAUUCCCAUGAGUAACACCAAAUAUAUUGGAUGAAUCAUGAAUAGCAAUUGCCAAGGGCUCCAGGCCAAUAUCUGAUAGUAAGGGACAGCCUUGUCUAGUACCUUGGAAAAGCCUAAAGAAAGGGGAUCUCUGAUUAUUAGUGAAACAGACGCCAAAGGUAUAUGUUAUAUCAAUUGCAUCCAAGAUAUAAAUUUUGGGCUAAAAGUAAAUUUCUCUAGUAUUUUAAACAAAUAUUCCCAUUCAAAUGUAUCAAACGCCGUCUCGGCAUCGACCGAGAUAACACAUUCUGGUGUCUUAGAUAAAGUCAUGUAUACAAUGUUCAUUAACCUCCAAACAUUAAAAUGUGUAUAAUGAUUUUUAAUAAAUCCUGUCUGAUGCUCGGAGACAAUUUGUGGCAAUAUCUUCACCAAUCUAAUUGCUAAUAUUUGAGAAAGGAUUUUAGAUACAACAUUCACAAAGAUAUUUUUCUGUCUGUUGCACAUUCAGUGAGAUCAUUUAUCAUUUUUGGGAAUUAAAUAAAUUGAUGCUUCAUAAAAUGUUUGUGGUAACUUAUGUACAAAUAAAGCAUCUUUAAAAAUUUUACCUAACCAGGGAGAAAGUAAACCGGAAAAAGAUUUUAAAAAUUCAGCUGUAUACUCAUCCGGACCAGGUGCUUUACCAGAAUUCAUUGAAUAAAUUGCUUUCUUUAUUUCCUCUUCAGUAAUGGGUGUGUCUAAUACUAAAUGUUCAUCAACUGAUAAUUUCAGAAUAUUUAAUUUCCUGAAAAAUUCAUGCAUUAUGAUAGAAUCCUCAGGAAAUUCUGAUUGGUAUAAAUUGGUAUAAAAUUCUUGAAAAAAUUUGUUAAUUUCGUCAUGGUCAACCGUCAAAGUAUCAUCCUGUUUAAGAACCCUAUUAAUCUGAAGUUUCGCUAAAGCAGCUUUUAAUUGGUUAGCCAAUAAUUUACCCAAUUUAUCAACAAAUAUAUAAAGUAACUGAUUUUCAAUCAGGGAUGUUAAUAACAAAUGAUGUUGCAUCUGAAGUUCAACUCUCUCUUUAUAAAGCAUCAAAUGGGGAGCAAUAGAAUAAUUUCUAUCAAUUUCUUUAAUCUUAUCAACCAAUGUACGUAUUUCAUUAUUAAUUUGAAAUUAUUUUUUUUUCAAUCCAGCAGAGUGUGAAAUAAUUUACCCUCGGAUAUAUGUUUUAAAGGCAUCGCGUGAUAUCCCACUUAAAAUUUCUUCCAUUGAGUUAGUUGAAAAGAAAAAAGCAAUCUGUUCUUUAAUGAAAUUAAUAAAAUUUAAGCCCUGAAGUAAAAUAGAGUUGAACCGCCAUUGUUUGGUACCAAAGGUUACAUCAGUUAACUUAACUGAUCAUUUCAAAGGUGCAUGAUCGGAAAUGGCAAUGUUAUCAUAUUCACAGGCAGUGACAAAUGAAACUAAUCGAAAAUCAAUAAAGGUGUAAAGGAAUCUAGAGUAAUUAUGAUAUACAUGAGAAAAAAGAGAACUCUUUUUCAUUAGGAUGUAAAAACCUCCUAAUUUCUAAAAUUCCAGAGUCAACUAAGAAGGAAUUAAUAAAAAUAGCAGAUUUGUUUGUAAGUACCUGAUUAGGCACAGACUUAUCCAUCAUACGUUUCAGACAUCAAUUAAAAUCUCCACCCAUUAUUACCAUAUAUUCAUAUAAAUUGGGAAGAAAUGCAAAAAAGUGCUUAAAUUCAGUAUAGUCAGUAUUUAGUGCAUAAAUAUUAACCAAAACUAAUUUAUUGUCAUAAAGUUAACCGGUGUUUAAUAGAAGUCUAUCAUAUUGGUCUGAAAUUGUAUCAUAGUGAACAAAUGAAAUCUAGGAGUCUAUAAAAAAAAGAAACACCUUUCACCUUAGUCGAUGAGUUAGAGCAAAACUGUUGGCCUUUCCGAAAACUAAGGAAGCGCUGAUUACCCUCCUUAAUCAGAUGAGUCUCCUGCGCAAAAAUAAUCUGAACAUUCAGUCUAUGAAAAACUCAAAAAAUAUUCUUCCAUUUAAUUGGAUGAUUCAAACCGUUCGUAUUCCAUGAAACAAAAUUAAUAAUGACAAAAUUAAUUAGGAAUAUCCAUUUUCCUUAAAUAAACAAUGUAGUAUGUAAAGGGUUAACCAUAUUGCAUAGGAAACUCACGAAUCAGGAAGAUGGAAAAUAGUUUAAAGAGGAAACGGAAGUUACGAAAAUACAGACAUUUUUGUAGUUUCAGUUCAGCCAAAAAGAAAAAAAUACUAGACUAAAAAUAGCCCUACCCCACCCCCCC